rnacentral:rRNA from 1 species
GACGGGGGGGGCAAGUGUUCUUCGGAAUGACUGGGCGUAAAGGGCACGUAGGCGGUGAAUCGGGUUGAAAGUGAAAGUCGCCAAAAAGUGGCGGAAUGCUCUCGAAACCAAUUCACUUGAGUGAGACAGAGGAGAGUGGAAUUUCGUGUGUAGGGGUGAAAUCCGUAAAUAUACGAAGGAACGCCAAAGGCGAAGGCGGCUCUCUGGGUCCCUACCGAGGCUGGGGUGCGAAAGCAUGGGAGCGAACAGG